AAACUAUAUUCUAAGUCCUAAUUAACUAAAGUGAAAUUAGGCCUAGCACAGUGAACGAUUGUUUGGACCUAAAUCCCAAAUCAGACUCAGUUAUACCCGCCGAAACCGGUUCAUCCAUGGCGAAACGGAUCUCCGAACCGUAAUACAAUACGAAGUCCAUCGCAACUUCCAUCUUCGCUUCCAAUCUGUCUGGUGUGCGUGCGAAGCGAACAAUAGGAAAACGAAGAACGAAGCCUCCAUGAUCACCGCCACUCCAAUCAUCGGCAUUUUACAUCCACGUUCCAUUCGUCCUUAUGCAUGCAGAAUCCAAAGGAGGCGGGAUCGGAACCACGUCGCGAGUGAACCGACUUUUGUACGCAGAAACAUACAAGUGGAAGCAAGAAAACUAACCAGAUCGAAAUUACACCGUGAAUAGGGACGAUGCUUGAACGCGAUUGCGGCGAUGACGAAACUUCGAAUCACAGCUCUUCACUACUCCUUGUGCAAACUCACCGUUACCCGCUCAGAAGAACACGCCGCUAUUUGUUGCUAUCCUUGGUUGCGAAGGAUGAACCGUAGUUAGUAUGGUGACGACGAGAGUUCGAGUCGCCGGAUCGACGGCAACGCGGUGGUGAAGCGUCGUCGCGAUGAAGAUCAAGGCAUCGAUGAAGAAAAGAUUGGAGUCGAUGAUCAAAGGAGAGAGAGGACUAUCGAAUUCCCAAAGAAUUGUUGCAGGAUCCUCUGUGGUUCGGUUGUGAUGAUGAUAGUUAUGCCGAAUGGAAGAGUGAAGAUUUGGUUGAAGAAGAAGAAUCUCGGUUGGGAAGAGGAAGUUGAAGUGGUGGUUCUUGAUGUUGAAGAUUGGAGAAGAAAGUGAAGGUUACGGUUACGGUGAUAGAAGGUGAAGACUAUGGAGUUUGGUGAAGGAAUUGAAGAGAGGAAACCGAAUUUGAGAGAGGGAAGGAGAAUUUAUAGAGAUGAGUUUUUUUGGUUAUAGUUUGUUAGUUAGUUGUGAAUGAAAAAUUCUGUUAUUUCAUUGUUGCAGGCUUUGCGGUUGGUGUCAAUGCAUUACCGUUGGAUUUGGCUUAUGUAUUCACUGGAGCUUUGCUUAUUCACCUGCGUUUUGCACCUUUUGCAGCUGGAUCACAAGUCGUGGCUUACGCAUUGGCUUGCGUUUGUUGCCGCGGUUUUAGCUUUGGCUUUGAGCUGCGUUUUUGAAUGAGCUAUUGUGAACGGCUUUGUGCUCUGCAGGUUGGAGCUUGGAAGUAGCUUUAGAAGCUUGGCUUGAAGCUUUGCACCGCUUGGUGAAGCUUGCUGCUUGUGUUUGGUUUUGGCUCAAUAGCUUUUUGGUGCAUUUUAUGCAGAAUUUCCACAUGCCUAUUAUGCAGAAUUUUUUGAUGUGUUGCUGAAUUUUUAAUGCAGAUUUUUUAUGAUGCAGAAUUUUGUUUUAAAUUAUGCAGAAUUUUAUAAUGCAGAUGCAGAAUUUUUAUGAUGCAAUGCAGAAUUUGGUUUAUGCAAUGCAGAAUUUUUGUUAUAUUGUAAAUGCAGAAUUUUUUUUAUGAAUGCAGAAUUUGGUUUAUGCAA